rnacentral:rRNA from 1 species
AUUGAACGCUGGCGGCAGGCCUAAACCAUGCAAGUCGAACGAGUGGCGGACGGGUGAGUAAUGUCUGGGAAACUGCCUGAUGGAGGGGGAUAACUACUGGAAAAGGUAGCUAAUACCGCAUACCAUUGGAUGUGCCCAGAUGUGAUUAGCUAGUAGGUGGGGUAAAGGCUCACCUAGGCGACGAUCCCUAGCUGGUCUGCGAGUAUGACCAGCCACACUGGAACUGAGCCACGGUCCAGACGCCUACGGGAGGCAGCAGUGGGGAAUAGUGCACGAUGGGCGCAAGCCUGAUACAGCCAUGCCGCGUGUAUGAAGAAGGCCUUCGGGUUGUAAAGUACUUUCAGCGGGGAGGCGGUACCCGCAGAAGAAGCACCGGCUAACUCCGUGCCAGCAGCCGCGAUAAUUC